GGUUAAGCGACUAAGCGUACACGGUGGAUGCCCUGGCAGUCAGAGGCGAUGAAGGACGUGCUAAUCUGCGAUAAGCGUCGGUAAGGUGAUAUGAACCGUUAUAACCGGCGAUUUCCGAAUGGGGAAACCCAGUGUGUUUCGACACACUAUCAUUAACUGAAUCCAUAGGUUAAUGAGGCGAACCGGGGGAACUGAAACAUCUAAGUACCCCGAGGAAAAGAAAUCAACCGAGAUUCCCCCAGUAGCGGCGAGCGAACGGGGAGGAGCCCAGAGCCUGAAUCAGUGUGUGUGUUAGUGGAAGCGUCUGGAAAGGCGCGCGAUACAGGGUGACAGCCCCGUACACAAAAAUGCACAUACUGUGAGCUCGAUGAGUAGGGCGGGACACGUGGUAUCCUGUCUGAAUAUGGGGGGACCAUCCUCCAAGGCUAAAUACUCCUGACUGACCGAUAGUGAACCAGUACCGUGAGGGAAAGGCGAAAAGAACCCCGGCGAGGGGAGUGAAAAAGAACCUGAAACCGUGUACGUACAAGCAGUGGGAGCCUCUUUUAUGGGGUGACUGCGUACCUUUUGUAUAAUGGGUCAGCGACUUAUAUUCUGUAGCAAGGUUAACCGAAUAGGGGAGCCGAAGGGAAACCGAGUCUUAACUGGGCGUUAAGUUGCAGGGUAUAGACCCGAAACCCGGUGAUCUAGCCAUGGGCAGGUUGAAGGUUGGGUAACACUAACUGGAGGACCGAACCGACUAAUGUUGAAAAAUUAGCGGAUGACUUGUGGCUGGGGGUGAAAGGCCAAUCAAACCGGGAGAUAGCUGGUUCUCCCCGAAAGCUAUUUAGGUAGCGCCUCGUGAAUUCAUCUCCGGGGGUAGAGCACUGUUUCGGCAAGGGGGUCAUCCCGACUUACCAACCCGAUGCAAACUGCGAAUACCGGAGAAUGUUAUCACGGGAGACACACGGCGGGUGCUAACGUCCGUCGUGAAGAGGGAAACAACCCAGACCGCCAGCUAAGGUCCCAAAGUCAUGGUUAAGUGGGAAACGAUGUGGGAAGGCCCAGACAGCCAGGAUGUUGGCUUAGAAGCAGCCAUCAUUUAAAGAAAGCGUAAUAGCUCACUGGUCGAGUCGGCCUGCGCGGAAGAUGUAACGGGGCUAAACCAUGCACCGAAGCUGCGGCAGCGACGCUUAUGCGUUGUUGGGUAGGGGAGCGUUCUGUAAGCCUGCGAAGGUGUGCUGUGAGG
rnacentral:rRNA from 1 species